AUGGUGGCCAUUCGUGUGCUGCUCCUUGCAGGAGCUCUCUUGGCCUUUGCAUGCUCGCAGCAUGGCGUCGCCGCCUCCGACCCCAGCCUUCUCCAGGACUUCUGCGUUGCGGACAAGACGUCUCAAGUGCGUGUCAAUGGACUGCCUUGCAAAGACGCGAAGGAUGUCGUCGCGGAGGACUUCUUCUUCUCCGGCCUCCAUCUGGCCGGCAACACGGCCAACAAGCAGGGCUCCGCGGUGACCGCCGUCAACGUCGCGCAGAUCGGUGGGCUGAACACCAUGGGCGUCUCCCUCGUCCGCAUCGAUUAUGCGCCGAACGGCCUCAACCCUCCUCACACCCACCCGCGCUCCACCGAGAUCUUGACCGUGCUAGAGGGCUGCCUCCACGUCGGCUUCGUCACCUCGAACCCUGAGAACAGACACUUCAACAAGGUUAUGGCCAAGGGAGACGUGUUUGUGUUCCCCAAGGGCCUCGUCCAUUACCAGUUAAAUAAUGGGAAUACUCAUGCGGUGGCCAUCGCGGCACUGAGCAGCCAGAACUCCGGAGUGAUCACGGUAGCCAACGCGGUGUUUGGAUCGGAGCCUGCCAUCUCUGAUGAUGUUAUUGCCAAGGCAUUCCAGGUGGAGAAGAACACAGUCGAUUGGAUCCAAGCACAGUUCUAA
rnacentral:rRNA from 1 species